GUAAAAUACGGGAUCCGCCAGCGGCCUUUUUGCGACGCCAUUUUGCACGUGUAGAACUUCCCAUUUUGUUACGACUGGCACAAAUUACACAAUCUAAACGCCUCGGCUUGCGGCACUCCUGAUACCGCUGGGAAGGAAGCCGGUUGUAGGCUGGAGUACCCACCCGGAGUAGUCGGGGGUGAGUGGUUACCUUAGUGGUUGCCAUGGUAUUACAUACUAAAGUCUGUUUCAAUUAAUGUAUGAGUAAUUGUCGAUAAUACAUACAUACAUAUAUAUACCCAUGCACUGUUCAUGUAUGCCCCACAAUUGCGUUGUAUUACGAUAUAUAGAGGGUUCACACCCCCUGGGUUAUCGAUUAUUGAUCAUCGUGCUGUUACUGUUACCAUGCAGUUAUGUAUCGCAUUUCGUGCCUGACCUUGACGUUUCCAGACGUAGUAAUACAUAACCUAAGGUGGAUUACAUGGUUAAUAAUCUCUACAUAGUUAUGAUACUUUCUGACAUGUAUUGAGUAUAGUCCAUGUUGAAUUGAUAUAGCAACUGGUUGUAAUGCUGUCAUUCGCUCCGGUCAGCACACUACAAUGUGAUUCCUGUUUGCUGUGUUAAUAGGUUCUGCGUUUGCACCUAAAUAAAGAUGUCGGACCCAGAAUAGA